rnacentral:tRNA from 1 species
GGGUGAUUAGCUCAGCUGGGAGAGCACCUCCCUUACAAGGAGGGGGUCGGCGGUUCGAUCCCGUCAUACACCCACCA